AAUUACACUGUCUCCUUUUCCUAAUCAGUGAAACUAAUCUCCCCGUGAAGAAGCGAGGACAUACCUAUAAGACGAGAAGACCCUGUGGAACUUAAAAUUAAGCAGAAAUUGAAUUAAACUCCAAUAUUACUGCAAACUUUCGGCUGGGGCGACCGCGGAGUAUAAACCACCCUCCGCAUUGAACGGAUUAACACCCUAAACAAAAACUACACCUUUAAGUAUCAGCAGACUGACAUCAAUUGACCCGAUACAUCGAUCAAUGAACCAAGCUACCCCAGGGAUAACAGCGCCAUCCACUUCGAGAGCUCAUAUCGACAAGUGGGCUUACGACCUCGAUGUUGGAUCAGGAUACCCCGGUGGUGUAGCCGCUACCAAAGGUUCGUUUGUUCAACGAUUAAAAUCCUACGUGAUC
rnacentral:rRNA from 1 species